AUGGCUCAGGAUGAACGCUAGCUACAGGCUUAACACAUGCAAGUCGAGGGGCAGCAUGGUCUUAGCUUGCUAAGGCUGAUGGCGACCGGCGCACGGGUGAGUAACGCGUAUCCAACCUUCCCCUUAGUAGGGCAUAGCCCGGCGAAAGUCGGAUUAACACCCUAUGUUUUCCGUUGCGGGCAUCUAAUAUGGAACAAAGAUUUAUCGCUAAGGGAUGGGGAUGCGUCUGAUUAGGUAGUAGGCGGGGUAACGGCCCACCUAGCCCUCGAUCAGUAGGGGUUCUGAGAGGAAGGUCCCCCACAUUGGAACUGAGACACGGUCCAAACUCCUACGGGAGGCAGCAGUGAGGAAUAUUGGUCAAUGGCCGAGAGGCUGAACCAGCCAAGUAGCGUGCAGGACGACGGCCCUAUGGGUUGUAAACUGCUUUUAUGCGGGGAUAAAGUCGCCCACGUGUGGGUGUUUGCAGGUACCGCAUGAAUAAGGACCGGCUAAUUCCGUGCCAGCCGCUGC
rnacentral:rRNA from 1 species